rnacentral:rRNA from 1 species
CCUACGGGAGGCAGCAGUGGGGAAUAUUGCACAAUGGGGGAAACCCUGAUGCAGCGACGCCGCGUGAGUGAAGAAGUAUUUCGGUAUGUAAAGCUCUAUCAGCAGGGAAGAAAAUGACGGUACCUGACUACGAAGCCCCGGCUAACUACGUGCCAGCAGCCGCGGUAAUAAGUAGGGGGCAAGCGUUAUCCGGAUUUACUGGGUGUAAAGGGAGCGUAGACGGUUAAUCUAGUCAGAAGUGAAAAGCCAGGGUUCAACCUUGGGACUGCCUUUGAAACUGAGUAGCUAGAGUGCAGGAGAGGUAAGCGGAAUGCGGAGUGUAGCGGUGAAAGGCGUAGAUAUUGGGAGGAACGCCAGUGGCGAAGGCGGCUUACUGGACUGUAACUGACGUUGAGGCUCGAAAGCGUGGGGAGCAAACAGGAUUAGAUACCCGGGUAGUC